rnacentral:lncRNA from 1 species
UUUUUUUUUUCUUUUUUUCUUUUUUUUUUGCUCCCCUCCCUUCCCUUAUCGUGUCUCAAGGUAGUUGCAUACCUAGUCUGGAGUUGUGAUUCCCCAUCCCCCCACCCCCCCACCCCUCCCCAAAUGUGUUUUUGUAAUUACUAUUUCUUUUUCCUGAAAUUCGUGAUUGCAACAAAGGCGGAGGGGACAGGGCGGGGGAGGGGAGGGAGGACCCGCUCCGGAAGGCGCUGUUUGAAGCCUGUCGGUCUUUGAAGUCUGGAAGACGUCUGCAGAGGACCUUUUGGCAGCACAACCGUUACGCUAGGGAGUUGGUUGGAGAUUCCUUUUUUUUUUUUUUUUUCCCUUAAGAGAUCUUAAAGAACUGGUGAUUUUUUUUAAAAAAACAAACAAACACAAAAACAAAAAAGGGACCAUUGCAACUUUUUUUAUUUUAUUUUAUUUUUUUGGAGGGAGAAAACUGAUGUCUUCUAUGCAUCCGAUUCUUAACAAAACUGCAGGGAGCUUGAAAAAAUGCAGACUGUACAAACGCUCACAAAAAAAAAAAAAAAAAACUGUGAACUGACUUAAGAUCAGAGUUUACUUUUCAGAUCAAAUUGUUUAUGGUUUUACAAAUGUGAUUUCUACUUGCCAACUUUUUUUUUGUAACUUGUUCCCUUAUACCUCCUUGAUUGAAUACCAGACAGCCUAGACCUCAGUACAAAAGGUAUUGAAACAUUUUUGAUACAUAACAGACCUCAGUCUUUUUUAAAAAUUAAUAUAUUUUCAGGCGUAUUUUUGUACAGUGAAAAGGGAACAUUCUUGCUGUGUUUUUUCAGUAAGACUUUCAGGCACUUCUUCCCUUUUGAUUUCUUUUUUUCCUCUGUUUUUUUUAGCAUGCAAGUAUGUUGGUACGUGAUGUCCUGGUUUAAAAAGGAUUAAAAUUUUUAAAUAAUCCUUGCAUCUAAAGGCCUUGUGGUUUAAAAAAAAAAAAGCAAACUUUUUUUUGUACAGCUAUAGUAGAGAUUUGUUCAAUAUUUGUAGGUAAAGAUUUAUUGAAAAUGGUGAUAUAGACCUCAGAGCUGUUAUCUUAGUUUAAAGAUUGUAUAUGUACUGUACUAUACUAGGACUUUAUGUAUCUCAUACGCUGUGAUAUGUGGAUGGGGCCCCAGAUGGAAGGUUUGAAACUGGAUUCUCGAUUUUUAGCAAAAAAAAAAAAAAAAAAAAAAAAAAAAA